GGGCGUGUAGCUCAGUUGGGAGAGCGCCCCGUUCGCAACGGGGAGGUCGUGGGUUCAAAUCCCAUCACGUCCA
rnacentral:tRNA from 2 species